rnacentral:lncRNA from 1 species
GUUUAUUAGUUUUCUUCUUAAUUAUAUUGUUUUUUUCUCAUUCAAAUAAUAUAUAAAUUAUUGUUUAUAGGUAUUUUUAAUGAUCAAUCAAAGAUUUAAAAUUAUGUGGUUUUGUUUGUUUGUUUGUUUGUUUGUUUGUUUUUUCUGUGAUCAAUCCCUAGUUUCAGAUAAUUGCCAACUGCAGUGUACUAGUUCUCAGGUGUCAGAUAAGAAGCCAAGUACUAGACAAAACAAUGUAAAUACUGUGUUUUACUGAAGCUUAUUGUCGAAUAGCCAGAGUGUGUUAGAUGUUUUCAUUCACACUGCUUCCUCCUGUUUUCUAGAGUGGAGAAACAAGUAAUGCAGUCCGUUUUCAAUAUUGGUAACCUUUAAGCAAUAUAGCUGUCCUAGGGAGAGAAAGGACUUUCCUUUCAGUGAGUUUUAGAUUAUAAGUGGUAAUUUGUAUGGUGUCCUCGUAAGUAUUCAUCAGUUUGUGAUUAGGACAUUUAAAUGACAUUUAUUACCUUUAGUUUUAGGUUAGAUUAUUAACUUGGCAAAUAAUCCUGAAGAAAAGCUUGAUUUUUUUUUUCCUUAUUUUUUCUUUAGAGAACAUUAGUCCAGAAGAAGAAUAUAAGAUCGCUUGCCUCCUGAUGGUCUUUGUAGCAGUUUCCCUGCCUACACUGGCCAGCAAUGUGAUGUCCCAGUACAGCCCUGCAAUAGAAGGACACUGCAACAAUAUUCAUUGUCUGGCCAAAGCCAUCAACCAAAUUGCUGCUG